CUGGCCUCUCCAUUCCUGGAAUGCCCUAGACCCUCUUUCACCUGGAAGAGAGAGUCUAUCAAUUGGACUGUUUUGUGGACACCAUAAAAUCGUCACAUGGCACUGGUAAGUAUGAAGCAUGUAUUUUUUCUAUUGGUCUGAUUUCUGAUCCAGUUUUACAAAUAACCACUGGCAGUAUUCCUUACCAUUCUGCUCUUCACAAGAACAUAAAGUAGUAAAAUUAAUAAACCCCUUUAUUUUAACUCUUGCUUCAGCAUAUAAUUUUCCCCAUAUGCGGCCAGCUAUCUAUAAGAUGCGCCUAAUAUCAAGAUCCUUUAUUUCACAUUGUAAAAAUCUUUCGUUUUUGCCUUCUUCCAAAUGUGUAUCUCUUUUUAUCUAGGAAUAAUUAAGUCAGGAUGGCAGAACAAUAAUAUUUACAGGCAGUGAACAGAAAUGCAGAAGUGGAAUUUACUAGCCAAACACUGCAUCUGAGUCAUUAUGCCACAAAUAAAUUAUGUGCAUGCAUGAGCAAUACAUAAACUUAUUCGUUCAAUUUGUUCUGACAUCAUAAGACAUUUUAAGGAAAUGUUAGAGACUUUUAGCUCAUUUCUAUUCAUUGAAAAAUUGUAUUUAGCC
rnacentral:lncRNA from 1 species